UACCAAAGCCCAGUUCCGUGAAUAGUGUUGGCGCUACAGUUCCGUGAACAAUGAACUGCUACAGUAUCUGUGAACGGUAUUGUACCUGUGAACAGUGCAGUAUUUGUGAAUAGUGCCGAGUAGAUGGAUGGAGAUAAAGAUGAAUCUAUAAAGAAGGGGUCAGCAUCGUCUUCAUCCAAUAGACAUCCAACUACUACUACAAGGUUAGAGGUUGAUAAAUUCAAUGGCUCUAAUAAUUUUGGUAUGUGGCAAUGU
rnacentral:lncRNA from 1 species